UACAGAGGUGGCAAGCGUUGUUCGGAAUUACUGGGCGUAAAGGGCGCGUAGGCGGCCCGUCAAGUCCCGUGUGAAAUCCCCGAGCUUAACUUGGGAACUGCCAUUGAUACUAUCAGUCUUGAAUACUGUGGAGGUUAGCGGAAUAUGUCAUGUAGCGGUGAAAUGCUUAGAUAUGACAUAGAACACCAAUUGCGAAGGCAGCUUACUACGCAGAUAUUGACGCUCAUGCACGAAAGCGUGGGGAUCAAACAGG
rnacentral:rRNA from 1 species